rnacentral:rRNA from 1 species
GAUGAACGCUAGCGGCAGGCUUAAUACAUGCAAGUCGUGGGGCAGCAUGAGUGUAGCAAUACAUUUGAUGGCGACCGGCAAACGGGUGCGGAACACGUACACAACCUUCCUAUAAGUGGGGAAUAGCCCAGAGAAAUUUGGAUUAAUACCCCGUAACAUAACGAUGUGGCAUCACAUUGUUAUUAUAGCUUCGGCGCUUAUUGAUGGGUGUGCGGCUGAUUAGAUAGUUGGCGGGGUAACGGCCCACCAAGUCUACGAUCAGUAGCUGAUGUGAGAGCAUGAUCAGCCACACGGGCACUGAGACACGGGCCCGACUCCGACGGGAGGCAGCAGUAAGGAAUAUUGGUCAAUGGACGCAAGUCUGAACCAGCCAUGCCGCGUGAAGGAUUAAGGUCCUCUGGACUGUAAACUUCUUUUAUCUGGGACGAAAAAAGGCUUUUCUAAGUCACUUGACGGUACCAGAUGAAUAAGCAUCGGCUAACUCCGUGCCAGCAGCCGCGGUAAUAC